rnacentral:rRNA from 1 species
AUUGAACGCUGGCGGCAUGCCUUACACAUGCAAGUCGAGCGGGGUUUUCGGACCUAGCGGCGGACAGGUGAGUAAUGCGUAGGAAGCUACCCGAUAGAGGGGGAUACCAGUUGGAAACGACUGUUAAUACCGCAUAAUGUCUACGGACCAAAGUGUGGGACCUUCGGGCCACAUGCUAUCGGAUGCGCCUACGUGGGAUUAGCUAGUUGGUGGGGUAAUGGCUCACCAAGGCGACGAUCCCUAGCUGGUUUGAGAGGAUGAUCAGCCACACUGGAACUGAGACACGGUCCAGACUCCUACGGGAGGCAGCAGUGGGGAAUAUUGGACAAUGGGCGCAAGCCUGAUCCAGCCAUGCCGCGUGUGUGAAGAAGGCCUUCGGGUUGUAAAGCACUUUAAGUUGGGAGGAAGGGUUGUAGAUUAAUACUCUGCAAUUUUGACGUUACCGACAGAAUAAGCACCGGCUAACUCUGUGCCAGCCGCCGCCGUAAGAC